rnacentral:lncRNA from 1 species
GCUUUGCUGCGAAUAGAAGUACACGAGUAUGACAUGUCAGAGAAGGAUGAUUUUGCAGGCCAAACAUGUAUACCUGUUUCCGAGUUGAAACCUGGGAUUCAUGCAGUUCCCCUUUGUGACCGUAAAUGAAGUACACGAGUACGACAUGUCAGAGAAGGAUGAUUUUGCAGGCCAAACAUGUAUACCUGUUUCCGAGUUGAAACCUGGGAUUCAUGCUGUUCCCCUUUGUGACCGUAAAGGUGAAAAAUAUAGUUCCGCGAGGCUACUCAUGCGCUUUGAGUUUGUAUAAGGGUCCUUUAUCGUGUGUUUUUUUUUUUCAUGCUUUCUUUUCGAGUGUCAUCGGAUAAUAUUAGCAUAAAUUUUUAGGAGUUUGUAAUAAUGUUGUUAUGUUCUCCUUAGAGAAGUUUGUGUGGCAAAAAGAUUUCCAGGCGGCUUUGUACAGAAUUUUCUACAAGUAAACAAGAUUCCAGUGCUUGUUCAAUGAGAUUGGUUUUUUUAGGAGUAUGUAAUAAUGUCCUGUUCUUAAUUCUUAUGAUUAAAAACAUAGUUCAUUUUUAGGUGAAAUGACUUGUUAACUACAAUAGUUUCCAGAUAUAUGCAAGCAUCUGAAAAUCCAUAUAUAGAGAAUUUAUUAAUAAAAUGUUUUUCUCAUGGAUCAUUUCCUCCAAUCGGAAGAUAAUAUUUUCCUUAUCAAGAGAAAGGGAAAAUAAUUUUCAAAAUUCUUUUUUUAACGUCUC